rnacentral:rRNA from 1 species
UACGUAGGGCGCAAGCGUUGUCCGGAAUUAUUGGGCGUAAGGAGCUCGUAGGUGGCUUGUCACGUCGGGUGUGAAAGCUUGGGGCUUAACUCCAGGUCUGCAUUCGAUACGGGCUGGCUAGAGGUAGGUAGGGGAGAACGGAAUUCCUGGUGUAGCGGUGAAAUGCGCAGAUAUCAGGAGGAACACCGGUGGCGAAGGCGGUUCUCUGGGCCUUACCUGACGCUGAGGAGCGAAAGCGUGGGGAGCGAACAGG